AGUAGUUGAUCAGUGGCUCGAGGACGAACGCUGGCGGCGUGCUUAACACAUGCAAGUCGAACGGUAAGGCCCUUCGGGGGUAACACGAGUGGCGAACGGGUGAGUAACACGUGGGUGAUCUGCCCUGCACUUCGGGAUAAGCCUGGGAAACUGGGUCUAAUACCGGGAUAGGACUCCUGGCUUCAGUGGUUGGGGGUGUAAAGCUUUUGCGGUGUGGGAUGGGCCCGCGGCCUAUCAGCUUGUUGGUAGGGUAAUGGCCUACCAAGGCGACGACGGGUAGCCGGCCUGAGAGGGUGACCGGCCACACUGGGACUGAGAUACGGCCCAGACUCCUACGGGAGGCAGCAGUGGGGAAUAUUGCACAAUGGGCGCAAGCCUGAUGCAGCGACGCCGCGUGAGGGAUGACGGCCUUCGGGUUGUAAACCUCUUUCAAUAGGGACGAAGCGCAAGUGACGGUACCUAUAGAAGAAGGACCGGCCAACUACGUG
rnacentral:rRNA from 1 species